UACCUUCUCUUUCACCUGCGUGCCAUUGGGU
rnacentral:piRNA from 1 species